GACAUCGACUCAUGAUUUGCUAAAUUUCAAGAUUUUAGUAUUGGUGUCAUUCGCACACCGACUCCCCCUUCGACAAUCUCAUCAACGCUCUGAGAAACCCUCACAUCGAUUUCACUAGUUCCUCUCCCUCUCCCCUCCAUCUUGUUCUACAAAGAAACCCUAGAACCAUGGUGUAUCCAUGGCGUUCAUCUCCUUCAGUAGCACCAACGGUCGACGGCUCCCAACCCUCACCUCUCUACUUCACGAGCAGUCACGAUCUGAAUUAGGAUGGUAUCAUUGGAAAAGUUAAUGGUGAUUAUUUUGUGGUGGUGUCAUGGUUGUAAACUUGUAAGCUUUCUUAAACCGUAGAAUUAUAUGCUUCCUGCAUUCAAAGUUCUUUUAGUACUUAUUUCCGGAGAGAGUACGUGGUCACUAAAACUUGUCAAACACGGCUAUGCAACUGUACGAGGGACUCAAUUUCUCGUGUUACUAUAGUGGAGGUAUAAUAAGAUAUAUAGUCACGUCGUCUUUCAUGGGCAUUUGGCAUUGAACUCUAGUCAUUAGCUUGGUUUUAUUCUUAAGAAACAGCUACACGCAUUCUCAUUUUUCUUUGGCUAUUAGUAAUUAUUCUUCUAUGUUUGUUGUCGAUAGUUGGUGAUGUUCUAUUCGUCCCAUGUAUCUGCAACCAAUUGCAGGGUCAUUGGGAAACUUCAAGCAGGACCAAAUACUCAGGAAAGGGACGCCAGGUUUCUGGUUCAUAGGCUGAUAAACAAGAGAAGUUCUUUUGUGACUUUUUGCUGAAGAAGUAGAUAUCAUCUUGCUAGUGUGCAGGUUGUCAUGAUCCUUUGGUUAAAGCCUCUUU